UUGCACUUGAGUUUGUGGUGUUUUUGAACUUGAUUUUGUAUGUUUUUUGAAUUUGAGUCUGUGGUGUUUUUGAACUUGUGUUUGUGUUUUUUUUAAGUUGAGGUUGUGGAAUUAUUUGAACUUGAGGUUUUGGCUAUUAUUAAACUUGAGUUUGUGUGUUAGUUUAACUUGAGUUUGUGUCGUGUUUGAACUUGAGUUUGUGGUGUUUGUUGAACUUGAAUUUGUGGUCUUUUUGAACUUGAGUUGGUGGUCUUUUUCAACUUGAAUUUCUUGUUUGAACUUGAGUUUGUGGUUUUUGUUGAACUUGAGGUUGUGGUAUUUUUGAACUUGAGUUUGUGUGUUUGUUGAACUUGAGGGUGUGGCAAUUGUAAAACUUGAGAUUUGGUUGUUGGUUGAACUUGAGUUUGUGAAAUUUUUGAAGUUGAGGAUGUGAAAAUUUUCAAACUUGAGAAUCAGGUGUUGGUUGAACUUGAGAUUGUGGUUUUUUGUGAAACUUGAGUUUAUGGUGUUUUUGAACUUGAGUUUGUGGUUUCUUUGAACUUGAUUCUGUGUUGUUUUUGAACUUGAGGUUGUGGAAAUUGUUAAACUUGAGAAAUGGGUAUUGGUUGAACUUGAGUUUUUGCUGUUUUGAACUUGAGUUUGUGUCUUUUUUGAA